rnacentral:pre_miRNA from 1 species
UGUUUCUUUUGAAGUAUGCUUACCUGUUACGAGUGUGCAUUGUAGUUGCAUUGCGUGAAAUACAACUAUGCAAUACUUCUACAGUGCAACUCCUGUGGCAGGCCAAAGUACC